rnacentral:tRNA from 1 species
GGGCAACUGAGGGAACGAGGCGUAGUUCGUUUACACCGAAGAUGUCGGCGGUUCGAGCCCGUCAUCGCCCACCA